AUUGAACGCUGGCGGCAGGCCUAACACAUGCAAGUCGAGCGAGCGGCGGACGGGUGAGUAAUGUAUGGGGACUGCCCGAUAGAGGGGGAUAACUACUGGAAACGGUGGCUAAUACCGCAUACUAUCGGAUAACCCAUAUGGGAUUAGCUAGUAGGUGGGGUAAUGGCUCACCUAGGCGACGAUCCCUAGCUGGUCUGAGAGGAUGACCAGCCACACGGGAACGCAGACACGGUCCAGACUCCUACGGAGGCAGAAGUGGGUAAUAUUGAACAAUGGGCGCAAGCCUGAUGCAGCCCUGCCGCGUGUGUGAAGAAGGCCUUCGGGUUGUAAAGCACUUUCAGCGAGGAGGCGUUACUCGCAGAAGAAGCACCGGCUAACUCCGUGCCAGCCGCCGCGGUAAUAC
rnacentral:rRNA from 1 species